UCGGUUGCACGGACGGUCGCAUGUCAUGUCUAACCGCCAUCAGGCACGGCAUGAGGAAAGUCCGGACUCCACAGGAAUCAACGACGGGUAACGCCCGCCGGUCGUAAGACCAGGGAUAGCGCAACAGAAAGUAUACCGCCUUCUUUGUAAGGCAAGGGUGAAAUGGCGAGGUAAGAGCUCACCGCGUUUCAGGCAACUGAAACGGCAUUGCAAGCCCCGUUGGGAGCAAGGUUAAAUCGCGUCGGCUCGCUUCGGCGAGCAAGGUUUUCCGUCUUGAAUGACGCAGGUGAACCGCUAGAGCGUUAGGGUAACUUUACGCCGAGAUAAAUGACCGUCGGCGCUUCUCUUUCGAGUGAAUGCGCGCACAGAAUCCGGCUUAUAGUGCAACCGACUUC
rnacentral:RNase_P_RNA from 1 species